CUUAGCACCAUCCACUUGGCACGCCUAUGCCCGCAUGUGGUCUGAAUGGGACAAUUUCUGUGCGUCCAGGGGAGCCGACGCUGCUCAGGGGUCUAGGGACAACUUACAUGAUUGGCUGGCACUACCCCCGGGGUGAAGCGAAUCUGGAUUGUGGGCCACUCCUUUGUCCACUGGGCCUCCCUACGCUGUGCGUCCCUCCCAUUUGGCCAAUCCCUAGGUCUCCCUCCCAACAAGGCAUCCGUUAGGUGGUUGGGUGAUAGGGGGAUGUGCUGGCCCCAAUUAGCAGGAACCAUAUCUGAGGCCCUGGUACGCUGGGGGAAGCCUCACAUUAUUAUUCUUCACCUAGGGGGUAACGAUGUGGGGGCCAUACCAGUUUUACAGUUGAUUAAGGUUAUGCAGGCAGACAUUGGGUGGCUAAGAGUACGCAUCCCGGGGGUCAUGAUAGGGUGGUCCCAUAUAAUACCCCGUCUCCACUGGAGGCAUAUGUCGGCCCAUACGGCGGCAUACCGGGUUAGGAAGAAGAUCAAUGCGUCUGUAGCAAAAACCGUCACUGGGUCAGGUGGCUUCGUGGUACGGCACGAAGCCAUUUCGGCUGAUAGAACCGAGCUAUAUAGAAGGGAUAAAGUUCACCUUUCAGAUGUGGGGCUGGAUUUAUUCAUAGGGGACAUUCAGAGAGCUCUGUUACCCCUCCUGUAAAUCGGGUCGUGGGUUGGCGGCAAGGGUACCAUUAAAAUGCUUCCUUGUGGCGGGAGAUCCUCGGUCCGGUUGCGCAGGAGAAGGUCGCUAGGGGUGAGUGAUGGCCAGACUUCCGGGGAGGGGGGUAGGCCCUCACGUGCACGUGACGGUAACCCUCCUUCCUCCCUUUUUGAGGGAUGGUCACGUGAUCUCUGCAACCCCUCAGCGUCAUCUCCUUAGGGCAGAGACCCCUCUGCUGCUGUUCCCGUUGGGCCGGUGAUCUCCUGCUGUUCUGGGUAGCUGAUCUCUAUGCCGCCAUAUAUAUUUUCAGUUCUAUCAGUUCUAUCUAGUUUGUUAGGUUAAUAAAAUUUUAUGGCCUGUGACGGUCACAAAAUUUUCCCAUAAAAAGUUUGUCUGUGGUUAUUUCGCACUACAUUCUCAUGUACAUAGUUAUUUAAUUAAGUUAUGUUAAAUCCUCUCCUCUGUGAAGAAGGAUCCGGUAAGCAUUUAAUCCCUUAAUGCAGUGUAGGGCUUAGUAUAAGCCUGGAGCAGUCUAAGGGUUAAGGCUGUAGGAGAGUGGGUUAGAAGAGAGAGGGAAGGUGCUGGGUGCAACAUUGUUGCAAUUUAGGGUAGGCCCCUCCUUACCAGUAGAUAAGCCAAGUUCUCCCUUGCAACUUCCUCUUCUUCUCCGGAUCCUGGCUGAAGCAGUUUUUUCCCCUCCCUCCCUUCCCCUUUUGUAAUGUUUUAAUGAUGUUGUAUUUUCGACGGCACCUUAAUGGCAGGGCUAUGGCUACUCACCCUAGGCCCAAUAAGCCAUUACUGUAGGAUAUGGAUCUCCUCUCCCUGUUAUGCGGUUUACACGGCUUGGUAACAGGGAAUCCUUAUCUAGGUGGAAGAUCUUCUUUUCACCCUGGCGGCGGGAGAUCCUCGGUCCGGUUGCGCAGGAGAAGGUCGCUAGGGGUGAGUGAUGGCCAGACUUCCGGGGAGGGGGGUAGGCCCUCACGUGCACGUGACGGUAACCCUCCUUCCUCCCUUUUUGAGGGAUGGUCACGUGAUCUCUGCAACCCCUCAGCGUCAUCUCCUUAGGGCAGAGACCCCUCUGCUGCUGUUCCCGUUGGGCCGGUGAUCUCCUGCUGUUCUGGGUAGCUGAUCUCUAUGCCGCCAUAUAUAUUUUCAGUUCUAUCAGUUCUAUCUAGUUUGUUAGGUUAAUAAAAUUUUAUGGCCUGUGACGGUCACAAAAUUUUCCCAUAAAAA